rnacentral:rRNA from 1 species
UACGUAGGGUGCAAGCGUUAUCCGGAAUUAUUGGGCGUAAAGAGCUCGUAGGCGGUUUGUCGCGUCUGCUGUGAAAACUGGAGGCUCAACCUCCAGCCUGCAGUGGGUACGGGCAGACUAGAGUGCGGUAGGGGAGAUUGGAAUUCCUGGUGUAGCGGUGGAAUGCGCAGAUAUCAGGAGGAACACCGAUGGCGAAGGCAGACUCUGGGCCGUAACUGACGCUGAGGAGCGAAAGCAUGGGGAGCGAACAGG